rnacentral:rRNA from 1 species
GGCCCUACGGGGCGCAGCAGGCGCGAAACCUUCACACUGUGCGAAAGCGCGAUGAGGGGAUCCCAAGUGCUUGCACUUAGGUGUAAGCUGUUUCUUUGUUUAAAACGCAUUGAGAGUAAGGGCUGGGUAAGACGGGCGCCAGCCGCCGCGGUAACACCUGCAGCUCAAGUGGUGACCACUAUUAUUGGGCCUAAAACGUUCGUAGCCUGUUUGGUAAAUGCCUGGGUAAAUCGAGCCGCUUAACGGUUCGAAUUCCGGGUAGACUGUCAAACUUGAGACCGGGAGAGGCUAGAGGUACUCCUGGGGUAGAGGUGAAAUUCUGUAAUCCUAGGGGGACCACCAGUGGUGAAGACGUCUAGCUAGAACGGGUCUGACGGUGAGGGACGAAGCCCUGGGGCGCAAACCGGAUUAGAUACCCGGGUAGUCCAGGGUGUAAACGCUGCUUGCUUGAUGUUAGUUGGGCUCUGAGCCCGAUUAGUGUCGGAGAGAAGUUGUUAAGCAAGCUGCCUGGGAAGUACGGUCGCAAGAUUGAAACUUAAAGGAAUUGGCGGGGGAGCACAGCAACGGGUGGAGCGUGCGGUUUAAUUGGAUUCAACGCCGGACAUCUCACCGGGGGCGACGGCAGAGUGAAGGCCAAGUUGACGACUUUGCCGGACUCGCCGAGAGGUGGUGCAUGGCCGCCGUCAGCUCGUAUCGUGAGGCGUCCUGUCAAGUCAGGUAACGAGCGAGACCCUUAUCCUUAGUUGCCAGCGGAUCCCUCUGGGAUGCCGGGCACUCUAAGGAGACCGCUGUCGAUAAGGCAGAGGAAGGAGAGGGCGACGGUAGGUCCGUAUGCCCCGAAUCCCCCGGGCAACACGCGGGCUACAAUGCGCGGGACAGAGGGCUGCGACCCCGAGAGGGGAAGCCGAUCCCUAAACCUGCGCCUAGUUCGGAUCGAGGGCUGCAACUCGCCCUCGUGAAGCUGGAAUCCCUAGUAAUCGCGUGUCACUAUCGCGCGGUGAAUACGUCCCUGCUCCUUGCACACACCGCCCGUCAAGCCAUCCGAGUGGGAUUUGGAUGAGGCUUACUCGACAUGAGUGGGUCAAAUCCGGGUUCUGCAAGGAGGGCUAAGUCGUAACA